rnacentral:rRNA from 1 species
GCCCGAGUGGCGAACGGGUGAGUAACACGUGAGUAACCUGCCCUUGACUUUGGGAUAACUUCAGGAAACUGGGGCUAAUACCGGAUAGGAGCUCCUGCUGCAUGGUGGGGGUUGGAAAGUUUCGGCGGUUGGGGAUGGACUCGCGGCUUAUCAGCUUGUUGGUGGGGCAGUGGCUUACCAAGGCUUUGACGGGUAGCCGGCCUGAGAGGGUGACCGGCCACAUUGGGACUGAGAUACGGCCCAG